CCUACGGGGGGCUGCAGUGAGGAAUAUUGGUCAAUGGGCGCGAGCCUGAACCAGCCAAGUAGCGUGAAGGAUGACUGCCCUACGGGUUGUACACUUCUUUUAUCAAGGAAUAAAGUGAGGCACGUGUGCCUUUUUGUAUGUAUUUUAUGCAUAAGGAUCGGCUAACUCCGUGCCAGCAGCCGCGGUAAUACAUAGGAUGCAAGCGUUAUCCGGAUUUACUGGGCUUAAAACGAGCGCAGGCGGGUUAACAAGUUUGGUAGUAAAGGCUUUUGCUUAACGAAAGUUUGGAUCAAAAACUGUUAAUCUAGAGUGUAGGAGAGAGUUCUGGAAUUCCAUGUGGAGCGGUGGAAUGCGUAGAUAUAUGGAAGAACACCAGUGGCGAAGGCGAGAACUUAGGCUAUCACUGACGCUUAGGCUCGAAAGUGUGGGGAGCAAAUAGGAUUAGAUACCCGAGUAGUC
rnacentral:rRNA from 1 species